GUGCUAGCUUUGGCAGCACAACUGUGUUGCAACAACACAUCGAAUAUUAGCAUAGCUCCUGUGCAAAGAUGACACACAAAUUUAUGAUGCAUUUCAUAUUUAA